UAUAACCCAGUCCUUAACUAAAACCUUAGAAUAUGUAUCAAAGUAUUCCUUGGUAUUCAAAAGGACCAGAGAAAACACCAUGUUUAACUAUUCCUCUUAAGGAUAUCGGCUAAAAGAUAUAAACCUUAAUAAAGUGAAAAUCAACAAUCUCAAAAA